CUGGCUCAGAACGAACGCUGGCGGCAGGCCUAACACAUGGCAAGUCGAGCGCGCCCUUCGGGGUGAGCGGCGGACGGGUUAGUAACGCGUGGGAACGUACCCUUUGGUAGGGAACUAGGCCAACUGGAAACGGUGAGUAAUACCCCUAUGAGCCCUUCGGGGGAAAGAUUUAUCGCCAAAGGAUCGGCCCGCGUUAGAUUAGGUAGUUGGUGGGGUAAUGGCCUACCAAGCCUACGAUCUAUAGCUGGUUUUAGAGGAUGAUCAGCAACACUGGGACUGAGACACGGCCCAGACUCCUACGGGAGGCAGCAGUGGGGAAUCUUGGACAAUGGGGGCAACCCUGAAUCCAGCCAUGCCGCGUGAGUGAAGAAGGCCUUAGGGUCGUAAAGCUCUUUCGCCUGUGAAGAUAAUGACGGUAGCAGGUAAAGAAACCCCGGCUAACUCCGUGCCAGCCGCCGC
rnacentral:rRNA from 1 species